UGCCUGGGCCACUGCAGGCCCCCCCCCCCUGCCCAGCGGCCAGCCUGACCCUUCUCCCUUUCUCUCUUCCUCCACCUAUUCCAGUUCUGUGUUACUGUGCAACACACCACCCCAACAGGAGCGGUGUGAACCAGCUCCUGGGGUUCGUGGAUUCUGUGGGUCAGGAAUUUAGACAGAGCCCAACAGGACAGCUUUUCUCUGCUUUACGACAGGACAGGCCUCAGGUGCGAAGAGUGAAUGGCUGGGGGCGACCCUGAUGGCCGGGCCAGACUUGGCUGCACCCUCGUGUUGGUGCCCAGCCAGCAUGGUUAAGCAGAACACCUGGAUGGGGCCGCUUCCAGGAGGUGGGCUCGGGGCUCCAGCAAAGGGGGCAAAGCGCCUGUUGGGUUACCACACAUCAGUUCUGCCACAUGCAGUCACAGGCCACCCAGGUUUGAGAGGAGGGGACAGGGACCCCCACCACAUCCUGGACACAUUGUGCAGGAAGUUGCAGUCUUGCUGUGACCUGCCACACUAUCCUCUGUCCUUUCAUUUUAACCGCGGGGCCCAGAAUCAAGCAGGCCACAUCCCACCGUUAGGGUCUUUAAACCUCCUCACCCACCACCUCCCGUCCCGGCCCUUCCCCCCUCCAAUCCACCUUCCACAUUUACGUAAUCUGCACACUUAUUAAAACAUACCAAAUUGUGUUUUAAACAUAUUAACAGUGGUGUGCUUAUGUUUCUUUUAUUUUCUCUAAACCACAUGUCGGUAUGCCUGCUAGCGAGUCAGGUCAGUUAUCUUCGGAAUACAGCAGAGCACUGCUAAUGGUCUGCGCUGCGACUCACUGUGGGGCUGGCCAAAGGCUCCAGACACCCAAGACUAUCGGACCCACUGAGUCAUGUGGCCCAGAUGGCCGAGAGCUUACGUGGCAGCCUGGGCCUCCUGCAGCUCCUCCUUUUGCUCUGGGUUACUCAGGUAGGAGCGGUUCUGGGGUUCCACCUGGCCUUUCCCACCGUAACAGCCCCCAUUCCAGGGACCAGGAAACCAAGAUGGGAUUCUGCUAACUGCCAAUCAUGCAUUCUGCAACAAGGACCUCACCCAGGACCCCACAUGACAUUCAGUCGUCAUGUCUCCCGAGGCCCCUCUGGGCUGUGACAGCUUCUCAGACUUUCUGUUUUUGAUGACCUUGACAGCUUGGAGGAGGACCAGUCAGGUACACACGAUUGACCUGACGUGCCACCGUGACGCUGACCUGGAUUGCCUGGCUGUGGUGUGCUUGUCAGGUGUCUCUACGGUGCUGUUGCUCGCUGUCCCCCCUUCGUCCUGUGCUCCUUGGAAGGAGGUCCCCCCUUCGUCCUGUGCUCCUUGGAAGGAGGGCGCCCCUUCGUCCUGUGCUCCUUGGAAGGAGGUCCCCCCUUCGUCCUGUGCUCCUUGGAAGGAGGGCGCCCCUUCGUCCUGUGCUCCUUGGAAGGAGGGCGCCCCUUCGUCCUGUGCUCCUUGGAAGGAGGGCCCCCCUUCGUCCUGUGCUCUUUGGAAGGAGAUGCCGCACUAAAGGGCUGGUAGGCGGUGCCUAUCCCCUUUAUGGUGGAGGAUCUACACACUUCAUUCAGAAUUCUUUUGCAUGGGAGAUUUGUCUCUUCUCUCCCACUUAUUAAUUUAUUCAGUCAUUUAUUUACAUCAGAACGGACUUGUGGAUUUUUUUUUUUAAAGAUUUUAUUUAUUUAUUUGAGAGAGAGAAUGAGAAAGAGAGAGCAUGAGUGAGGGGAGGGUCAGAGGGAGAAGCAGACUCCCUGCCGAGCAGGGAGCCCAAUGCGGGACUCGAUCCUGGACUCCAGGAUCAUGACCUGAGCCGAAGGCAGUCGCUUAACCAACUGAGCCACCCAGGCGCCCGGACUUGUGGAUGUUUAUUUUAUACUUUGGUUUAUAAUGUGAUGCCACUUUAAUUUUGUUGCUCAAAUUGUUUCAACUUUGGCCACUGGGAGCACUUUCAGUUGUCUGUGCUCCUUUGAUCUACUCACGUGUGUCUGUGUGUGUAUGUGUGUUGAAGACCUCCUUAAUUUCUGGCACCACAAAAUGCUCCAGGGUCAUUCUGUAUAUUUCCUGUAUCAGUCCUAAAAUCAGUCAUUUUCCCAAGGACUCUGGCACCUUCCUUUUAUUAGAAAAUGGAUUUAGGAAUCAAGAUCUGGGAAAUAGGUGUGUUCAUGGCUACUGGAGAGUUGUUUCUUUGUGCCUGCUCAGCAAACAAGCCAAAGAAAUAUAUGUGUAUACCAACUGUAUGUAUACAAGCCUGGAAAUAUUUCUGUAAAUAAUCUGUGUCGACAUUAAGCUUGUGCCUCCAGCUCCCAUCCGUCAUCCCACGGACCAUUCUCCUGAUUCCCUGUCACCCCCCACUCCACAGUGACACCCCAGGCUCUCAGCCUCCGCCGGCCACCGAGUUGGUCCCUCCAUUCCAGUGUGGGUGCGCAGCAGCCUCCUACCUGUGAGGCUGGGCCCCCGCGGGAAGCCCCUGCGUCCACGAGAGCCCAGGGCGCGUGUGCACGUGCUCUGCCUUGAGCCUGGCGGACUCCAGCCCCGUCCCUGAGGUGGCGUCACACACGUGUAAUGCAGUGAGGGUCUUGCGCUGUUUGCACUGCUCCUGGGAUCCCCAACGUCCUGACUGAUUUCCUUUUCUCUGAUUUGCCUACAUUAGGUUUGCUCCCUGUGUUGUUGAGUUCUAUGGAUACUGACCAAUCUACCAUUACAGUACCAUACAGAGCAGUGUCAACACCAUCUACACCCCAUGCUCCACCCAUUCAUCCCAUCCACCUCCCUCUGUGCCCCUGGAAACACUGAUCUGUUUACUGUCUCCUUACUUUUCCCUUUUCCAGAAUGUCAAAUAGUUGGAAUCAUACACUAUGUAGCCUUUUCCAACUGGAUUCUUUUUUUUUUUUUUUUUAAGAUUUUUUAUUUAUUUAUUUGAGAGAGAGAAUGAGAGAGCAUG